rnacentral:rRNA from 1 species
CCUACGGGAGGCUGCAGUGGGGAAUAUUGCACAAUGGGCGCAAGCCUGAUGCAGCCAUGCCGCGUGUGUGAAGAAGGCCUUCGGGUUGUAAAGCACUUUCAGCGGGGAGGAAGGCGUUAAGGUUAAUAACCUUGUCGAUUGACGUUACCCGCAGAAGAAGCACCGGCUAACUCCGUGCCAGCAGCCGCGGUAAUACGGAGGGUGCAAGCGUUAAUCGGAAUUACUGGGCGUAAAGCGCACGCAGGCGGUCUGUCAAGUCGGAUGUGAAAUCCCCGGGCUCAACCUGGGAACUGCAUUCGAAACUGGCAGGCUAGAGUCUUGUAGAGGGGGGUAGAAGUCCAGGUGUAGCGGUGAAAUGCGUAGAGAUCUGGAGGAAUACCGGUGGCGAAGGCGGCCCCCUGGACAAAGACUGACGCUCAGGUGCGAAAGCGUGGGGAGCAAACAGGAUUAGAUACCCGAGUAGUC